GUGGGGAAUAUUGCACAAUGGGGGAAACCCUGAUGCAGCCAUGCCGCGUCGUGUGAAGAAGGCCUUCCGGGUUGUUAAAGCACUUUCAUAGGGGAGGAAGGUAGUGAGUUUAACACCUGCAUUAUUUGACGUUACCUACAGAAGAAGCACCGGCUAACUCCGUGCCAGCAGCCGCGGUAAUACGGAGGGUGCGAGCGUUAAUCGGAAUUACUGGGCGUAAAGCGCAUGCAGGCGGCCUGUUAAGUCAGAUGUGAAAGCCCGGGGCUUAACCUCGGAAUUGCAUUUGAAACUGGCAGGCUAGAGUCUUGUAGAGGGGGGUAGGAAUUUCAGGUGUAGCGGUGAAAUGCGUAGAGAUCUGAAGGAAUACCAGUGGCGAAGGCGGCCCCCUGGACAAAGACUGACGCUCAGAUGCGAAAGCGUGGGGAGCAAACAGGAUUAGAUACCCCUGGUAG
rnacentral:rRNA from 1 species